GACGAACGCUGGCGGCGUGCUUAACACAUGCAAGUCGAACGGAAAGGCCUUUUCGGAGGUACUCGAGUGGCGAACGGGUGAGUAACACGUGGGUGAUCUGCCCUGCACUCUGGGAUAAGCCUGGGAAACUGGGUCUAAUACCGGAUAGGACCGCACUUUAGUGUGUGUGGUGGAAAGUUUUUUCGGUGUAGGAUGAGCCCGCGGCCUAUCAGCUUGUUGGUGGGGUAAUGGCCUACCAAGGCGGCGACGGGUAGCCGGACUGAGAGGUUGGUCGGCCACAUUGGGACUGAGAUACGGCCCAGACUCCUACGGGAGGCAGCAGUGGGGAAUAUUGCACAGUGGGCGCAAGCCUGAUGCAGCGACGCCGCGUGGGGGAUGACGGCCUUCGGGUUGUAAACGCCUUUCGCCAGGGACGAAGCGUUUUGUGACGGUACCUGGAGAAGAAGCACCGGCUAACUACGUG
rnacentral:rRNA from 1 species